rnacentral:ncRNA from 2 species
CCUACAAGUGACGGGAGCCUAUGAAUAGGUUGAGAGUAAGCUCAUAGCUUAGACCGCACCGGAUCUGGAUAAUGCCAGCGUCGGGAAUACUUAAACCCACUCAA